rnacentral:rRNA from 1 species
AGCGAACGCUGGCGGCAGGCCGAACACAUGCAAGUCGAACGAACUCUUCGGAGUUAGUGGCGGACGGGUGAGUAACACGUGGGAACGUGCCUUUUGGUUCGGAAUAACUCAGGGAAACUUGUGCUAAUACCGAAUGUGCCCUUCGGGGGAAAGAUUUAUCGCCAUUAGAGCGGCCCGCGUCUGAUUAGCUAGUUGGUGAGGUAACGGCUCACCAAGGCGACGAUCAGUAGCUGGUCUGAGAGGAUGACCAGCCACACUGGGACUGAGACACGGCCCAGACUCCUACGGGAGGCAGCAGUGGGGAAUCUUGCGCAAUGGGCGAAAGCCUGACGCAGCCAUGCCGCGUGAAUGAUGAAGGUCUUAGGAUUGUAAAAUUCUUUCACCGGGGACGAUAAUGACGGUACCCGGAGAAGAAGCCCCGGCUAACUUCGUG